rnacentral:lncRNA from 1 species
UUGCCUCUUUCAAUAGGACAUCAUCCUUUUCAGCAACCCGAUACGAUAGUGUGUUGCACCGAUGUGAAAAUGCCCCAACUACUUCCUCAUCCUCUUCAGAGUCAGUCUCAUUAUUACAAUUAGCUUGCGGGACCUCUUGUUUUGAACUUGGCCCGCCACUUGCUAAUUGACAAUAUGCAUUCACCAUCCGCUUCUGAGGACACUUCGAUACCCGAUGAGGUCCUUCACAUAAAAAGCACUUCAAUUUGAGAGUGGCAUCAGUUCGGCCCUCCGUUGCUUUUCCUUUGUUCCAGUUGUUA